CCCAGACUCCUACGGGAGGCAGCAGUGGGGAAUAUUGGACAAUGGGGGGAACCCUGAUCCAGCGACGCCGCGUGAGUGAAGAAGUAUUUCGGUACGUAAAGCCCUAUCAGCAGGAAAGAAAAUGACGGUACCUGACUAAGAAGCCCCGGCUAACUACGUGCCAGCAGCCGCGGUAAUACGUAGGGGGCAAGCGUUAUCCGGAUUUACUGGGUGUAAAGGGAGCGUAGACAGCAGUGCAAGUCCGGAGUGAAAGCCCGGGGCUCAACCCUGGGACUGCUCUGGAAACUGUAAAGCUGGAGUGCGGGAGGGGCAGGCGGAAUUCCUGGUGUAGCGGUGAAAUGCGUAGAUAUCAGGAGGAACACCGGCGGCGAAGGCGGCCUGCUGGACCGUAACUGACGUUGAGGCUCGAAAGCGUGGGGAGCAAACAGGAUUAGAUACCCCGGUA
rnacentral:rRNA from 1 species